GACUCCCUAGCGUUAAAUACGACUGAAUACGGAGCACAAGCACAGCCCAGAUACGGACAGAGAGAAGGCUGGCAUGUCGGCUGUGGAAAAGCACCUGCCCAGUGUGGGGAAGUUGGAGGAGGCAACAGGUGUGGAACGUGAGUGGAGGAACCGCCUGCCUGUCAAGUGACGUCAGUUGCUGACGCCUUGUAUUGCGCCUCCCUCCCCCUCCCUCACUGGUCAGAGGCUUAUCAAUGGCGCUAACUUCAGGGGAGACACGCUCUGUUUGGAGAGAGUGCACGCUCUGUGACGACGGUUCUCUCGUUCGAGAGACCGGUCUGAGAGGCUGAUGAUUACGUUAGUUCGAUCAGUUCUGUGUUCAUUCGUGCUUGUUUAAUCUUGUGUUUGAUGCUUGAGGUAUGACCGUUUUGUCUGAUGAGAGCUAUUUCUUGACUAUUCAUCUCAACUUAUUACUUACGCUGUAUAUACGGGCAGUAGAGGUUGUGAGUCAGGUAAGCAGGUCGCGACCUACAUUUGCAAACAUACAGUUCAAGUCUUGUAUUAAAACACUAGGUUUAGUAGUGGUGCUAAGUAUGUAUGUUUUGUUUGGUUAGUUAGGGUAGUUUUAGUUAUGGCGUUUUCGGACGCUGAAGAUGUUUUGUUUUCUACAUCUUUUGUUGUUAGUUAGUUUAUUUUUCUUUAAAUCUGCAGUUAGAAGAGUUUUGUUUUGUUCUGUUUUUUGAUUUAAGCACCACUCGUUUGCUCCUUCCUCUCUCCCUGGUUGUUUGCUGAUUUGUGCUUGGUUUUGUUCAAUUGUACAUUUAGUAAAUAUCCAUCAUUUUUAUUAAUUAUUUACUUAUUCACUUUAUUACUUCACUUUAUUCUAAUAUUUGGCAUUAAAUACUUUUCAGUUGAAGUUGUUGGUCUUGGGUCAUCUUUUUGCAGCUCCCCUACUGUCAAUACACACACGCAUACUUAUUUCUUGUGUUAUGUCUAAUUAUAUUUCUAGACAAAUUAACAUCUAAUU